rnacentral:rRNA from 1 species
UACGGAGGGAGCUAGCGUUGUUCGGAUAUACUGGGCGUAAAGCGCACGUAGGCGGCGUCGUAAGUCAGGGGUGAAAUCCCGGAGCUCAACUCCGGAACUGCCCUUGAAACUGCAAUGCUAGAAUCUUGGAGAGGCGAGUGGAAUUCCGAGUGUAGAGGUGAAAUUCGUAGAUAUCGAGAGGAACACCGGUGGCGAAGGCGGCCAACUGGACAGAUACUGACGCUGAGACACGAAAGCGUGGGGAGCGAACAGG